rnacentral:rRNA from 1 species
UACGUAGGGUGCGAGCGUUGUCCGGAAUUACUGGGCGUAAAGAGCUCGUAGGUGGUUUGUCGCGUUGUUCGUGAAGUCUCACGGCUUAACUGUGAGCGUGCGGGCGAUACGGGCAGACUAGAGUACUGCAGGGGAGACUGGAAUUCCUGGUGUAGCGGUGGAAUGCGCAGAUAUCAGGAGGAACACCGGUGGCGAAGGCGGGUCUCUGGGCAGUAACUGACGCUGAGGAGCGAAAGCGUGGGGAGCGAACAGGAUUAGAUACCCUGGUAGUCCACGCCGUAAACGGUGGGUACUAGGUGUGGGUUUCCUUCCCUUGGGAUCCGUGCCGUAGCUAACGCAUUAAGUACCCCGCCUGGGGAGUACGGCCGCAAGGCUAAAACUCAAAGGAAU